CGGACUAAUGCAGUGACCACUCCCAGCCU
rnacentral:piRNA from 1 species